AUGAAACGGCAGUACGCAUGCGCGAUAUCACGGGCCGCAGUACGCAUGCCCGGGCUCCGAGACGGCAGUACGCAUGCGCGAGCUUCGAGCCGAGACCGCCGCAACCUUUCCGACGCAGUUUUCCUGUUUGGACAUUAGGUGGCAGCAGAUACCGUGGAAACAACUCCUCCGCCGCCUUUUAGCGGACUGCCUGGGACCGUGGGCGCGCGCAUCCCCUUCUCUCUUUCUUUUCUUGGCAGAGGAUGGUGGGGGGAAGAAGGGGAGACGACAAAGAAAAGCAAGGAAAACUUCGACAAACCCCCCAACCCCGUGCUAAAUGCUUUGGUAUACCUGUAAAUAAAUGAAUACAUAAC
rnacentral:lncRNA from 7 species